UACGGAGGGUGCAAGCGUUAAUCGGAAUUACUGGGCGUAAAGCGUGCGCAGGCGGUGCACCAAGCUCGAUGUGAAAGCCCCGGGCUUAACCUGGGAAUUGCAUUGAGGACUGGUGUGCUCGAGUGCGGCAGAGGGGGGUGGAAUUCCACGUGUAGCAGUGAAAUGCGUAGAGAUGUGGAGGAACACCGAUGGCGAAGGCAGCCCCCUGGGCCGACACUGACGCUCAUGCACGAAAGCGUGGGGAGCAAACAGG
rnacentral:rRNA from 1 species